rnacentral:rRNA from 1 species
UACGGAGGGUGCAAGCGUUAUCCGGAAUCAUUGGGUUUAAAGGGUCCGCAGGCGGUCUUAUAAGUCAGUGGUGAAAGCCUACAGCUCAACUGUAGAACUGCCAUUGAUACUGUAAGACUUGAAUUCGAUCGAAGUGGGCGGAAUAUGACAUGUAGCGGUGAAAUGCAUAGAUAUGUCACAGAACACCAAUUGCGAAGGCAGCUUACUAAAGUGUGAUUGACACUGAGGCACGAAAGCGUGGGGAUCAAACAGG